GACGGCCUUCGGGUUGUAAACCUCUUUCAGCAGGGAAGAAGCGCAAGUGACGGUACCUGCAGAAGAAGCACCGGCUAACUACGUGCCAGCAGCCGCGGUAAUACGUAGGGUGCGAGCGUUGUCCGGAAUUAUUGGGCGUAAAGAGCUUGUAGGCGGUUUGUCGCGUCUGCCGUGAAAAUUCGAGGCUCAACCUCGAACUUGCGGUGGGUACGGGCAGACUAGAGUGUGGUAGGGGAGACUGGAAUUCCUGGUGUAGCGGUGAAAUGCGCAGAUAUCAGGAGGAACACCGAUGGCGAAGGCAGGUCUCUGGGCCACUACUGACGCUGAGAAGCGAAAGCAUGGGGAGCGAACAGGAUUAGAUACCCUGGUAGUCCAUGCCGUAAACGUUGGGAACUAGGUGUGGGUCUCAUUCCACGAGAUCCGUGCCGCAGCUAACGCAUUAAGUUCCCCGCCUGGGGAGUACGGCCGCAAGGCUAAAACUCAAAGGAAUUGACGGGGGCCCGCACAAGCGGCGGAGCAUGCGGA
rnacentral:rRNA from 1 species